GGGGCCCCAGGUGACCUACGGCACGGUGUGAGGGGGCCGUACCUCAUGCAGAGUGUUGGUGGAAUUUGUGUGCGGCUGCAUAGUGUGCGGCCUCCCCACACAGUGCUGGGUUUUUCUAGCCAGA